CAGAAAGUAGUUUAAUUUAAUCUAGAAUACUAGCUUUGGGAGCUAGCGGCGGGGGUUAAAUUCCCCUCUCUCUGA
rnacentral:tRNA from 1 species